AUUCAAUGCAGUGACGGCAGAAAGUGUAUGGGCAUGAAGAUUCAAAGAAAAAGAUGCGGCCGUUGAAAGAUUUAUAUGCUCCUUUGCUCCAGGUACCUGAACCACUAAGGCCAGUUUCACCAAAUUCAUUUAGUCCAGAAGCACCAACACCAAGUUCAUCUGCACUCUUACCUCCUCCACCACUUCCAGAAUCAGAAGACCAAGUGUUUCCUCCUAAUGGAAAUCAAAAUGUGAGUAAAAGAAAUAAAGAAGAAAGAAAUUAAUUGGAAUUUCUUGGAAAUAGAGUCCAGGUUAGGAUACCUGAGUCACUGACAUCAGAUCCAGGACUCAAGUUUCCAGCCUCAUCAGGGUCACUGCUUCUCUUUCUAUUCCCACCAGUUCUACUGAGUUCAACUUCAUGUUGAUCAGAUGACCCCAAUAUGACUCCUGAAUCUUCAGAGAUACCACUAGAAUUUUCAAACCCAUUUCUUGCACUUGAAUCACCUGUUGAAUACAAAAUUAUGGUCACUAGAAUUACUUUCAAUGCCUACUAUGAUUCAGAAUCAUUCGUGCACAGAAAUUAACAAUUAGUACCUAGCACUAUAGCCUCCAGAACUACCUACUCCAUUUCCAUCAAAAUCUUUACUACUAUUGCCAUUGUCACCAGAUUGAUUUGAACCAGAAUCUCUAAAGUUAAAUUCAGCUCCACCCUUCGUUUCUCCAAGUCCAAAUUCAAACAACCAGGACUUUUCCACUGGUGAAGAAAUAAAAUGUUAAUAAAAUAAUGGGUGAAAGGUUGAAAUCAAUUUAAAUUUCACCAGAGCAGAGUCCAGGACUAAACCACCUGCGCCACUGACAUCAGAUUUACUGCUGCUCUGCUCAUUCCAACCAGAUCCACUUGUUCCAAAUCCCUUUUGACCAAAUUUCUCCAAACCGAAGCCCAAAUUUUCUGCUAUGUCACACACACAAAAAAUCCCUUUUUUAUUGCACUGGUACCAAUUACAUGAUAUAAAAUGGUUAUCAUCAGAAUGCAUUUCAAUAAGUUUAUGAUUCAAACUUUAAUGCAAAGAAAUUAAAUAUCGAUACCUAAAUCACUAGAACUAGAUUCUCUAGUAACUUUUAUUCCAUUUUCACUAAGCUCAUUACCACCAAAUUUCCUUGAACCAGAAUACUUAAAAUCAAAUCCAGCUCCAACUUUUUUUCCUCCAAGUCCAAAUUCAAGAGACUCAAGCAUUCCCACUAACAGAAAAAUCAAAAUAUUUUUAAAUAAAUGAAUAUUUGGAAUUCAGGUGGAUAUCUCGGGAACAAAACUGGCUAGAAUACCUGAGCUACUUGAAUCAGAUCCAAAACCUUUGAAUCCAGCCUCAGCAGAUACACUGCCACUCAUUCCAUUCCCUCCAAUUUCAUUGAUUCCAAAUCCCUCUUGACCAGAAUCCCAUAAAUUGGAUAUCGAAUUUAGAGAGCCACCACCAACAAAUUGAUUCUCACUUCUGAAACUGGUAUCACCUGCAGAAUAUAAAAUAAUUGUCACUGUGCAUUGAAAAUAUUUUAUGACUCAGACGUUUUUAUGCACAAAAGUCAGAUAUUAAUACCUAGAUCAAUGGAAACAGAUCCUCCAGAACUACUCGUUUGAUUUCCUUCAACUGUUUUGCUACUAAUGCCAGUGUCACCAAAUGAAUUCGAAUCAGAAACUUCAAAACCAAAUGCAGCAUCACCUUUCCCUGCUCCAAGUUUCAAACCAGAAGAACCAGUUCCAACUAAUGGAAAAUCAAAAUGUGAUUAAAGUUAACAUUAAUUAAUUAAUCUUGUUGUUAAGUGACAUUAAAAUAAAAGCAUCUUAACCAAUUAAUUAACUGAAUCAAUCUAAAAUUUUGAGGAUUGAGUCUUAGUUGGAAUACCUGAGCUACCUGCAUCAGGUCCAAAGACUAUGGUUUCACCCCCAGCAGAUCCACUGCCUCUAGUUUCUCUCCCAUCAGCUUUACUGACUUCCAAUCCCUUUUCAUCAGAUAUCCCCCAACCAAAUCCCACAUCCAGAGAGGCACCACUGCUACUAAAGCCAGCACCAUAUCUUGUGUUGGUGCUAUCUGUUGAAAACAAAAGAAAGAAAGAAAGAAAGAAAAAAAUCAUUGUCACCAAGGGAGUAUUUUAACACAUCUUAUGAUUCUUUAUUUUGAUGCAAAAACCUGAAUAGUAAUAUCCAGAUCACUG
rnacentral:lncRNA from 1 species